AUUGAACGCUGGCGGCAGGCCUAACACAUGCAAGUCGAGCGGUAGCACAGAGAGCUUGCUCUCGGGUGACGAGCGGCGGACGGGUGAGUAAUGUCUGGGAAACUGCCUGAUGGAGGGGGAUAACUACUGGAAACGGUAGCUAAUACCGCAUAACGUCGCAAGACCAAAGUGGGGGACCUUCGGGCCUCAUGCCAUCAGAUGUGCCCAGAUGGGAUUAGCUAGUAGGUGGGGUAACGGCUCACCUAGGCGACGAUCCCUAGCUGGUCUGAGAGGAUGACCAGCCACACUGGAACUGAGACACGGUCCAGACUCCUACGGGAGGCAGCAGUGGGGAAUAUUGCACAAUGGGCGCAAGCCUGAUGCAGCCAUGCCGCGUGUGUGAAGAAGGCCUUCGGGUUGUAAAGCACUUUCAGCGGGGAGGAAGGCGUUAAGGUUAAUAACCUUGGCGAUUGACGUUACCCGCAGAAGAAGCACCGGCUAACUCCGUGCCAGCAGCCGCGGUAAUACGGAGGGUGCAAGCGUUAAUCGGAAUUACUGGGCGUAAAGCGCACGCAGGCGGUCUGUCAAGUCGGAUGUGAAAUCCCCGGGCUCAACCUGGGAACUGCAUUCGAAACUGGCAGGCUAGAGUCUUGUAGAGGGGGGUAGAAUUCCAGGUGUAGCGGUGAAAUGCGUAGAGAUCUGGAGGAAUACCGGUGGCGAAGGCGGCCCCCUGGACAAAGACUGACGCUCAGGUGCGAAAGCGUGGGGAGCAAACAGGAUUAGAUACCCUGGUAGUCCACGCCGUAAACGAUGUCGAUUUGGAGGUUGUGCCCUUGAGGCGUGGCUUCCGGAGCUAACGCGUUAAAUCGACCGCCUGGGGAGUACGGCCGCAAGGUUAAAACUCAAAUGAAUUGACGGGGGCCCGCACAAGCGGUGGAGCAUGUGGUUUAAUUCGAUGCAACGCGAAGAACCUUACCUGGUCUUGACAUCCACAGAACUUUCCAGAGAUGGAUUGGUGCCUUCGGGAACUGUGAGACAGGUGCUGCAUGGCUGUCGUCAGCUCGUGUUGUGAAAUGUUGGGUUAAGUCCCGCAACGAGCGCAACCCUUAUCCUUGGUUGCCAGCGGUUAGGCCGGGAACUCAAAGGAGACUGCCAGUGAUAAACUGGAGGAAGGUGGGGAUGACGUCAAGUCAUCAUGGCCCUUACGACCAGGGCUACACACGUGCUACAAUGGCAUAUACAAAGAGAAGCGACCUCGCGAGAGCAAGCGGACCUCAUAAAGUAUGUCGUAGUCCGGAUUGGAGUCUGCAACUCGACUCCAUGAAGUCGGAAUCGCUAGUAAUCGUAGAUCAGAAUGCUACGGUGAAUACGUUCCCGGGCCU
rnacentral:rRNA from 1 species